UCUUGUCAGCCAAUUAGUUCAGAAAAAGCACUCAAUGUAGGCAAUGGUAUUCGUUUUAAAGCAAACAAAAGUGACCUCCUAUAAAGGAAGAGAGCGUUUGAUUGAGUUAUGCAGUCAGUCCUGCGGGUCACCGCCCGGUGCUUGCGUCGGCACACUCUUAGUGAAGUCCUGCAUAGUGUCCUCCGUAUAAGCGGUACGUUCUUGGUUCAUCACACACCACCGCAUAUAAGCGUUCGUUCGAGCGAGAUCAUGCGUGACGAAACGCGGCCAACCUCGCGGCUGCAUGCGACCAACGAGCAAGCGCAACGUUUAUAUGCGGUCCUGCAAAUGUGGCGCCCAAAAAGCGCACAGAAGCGUAGAGAAAGCGUUAUAAAGCGAAACGUACAAGGAGUGAUGAGGGAGAAGCUGUGAUGGAGAAAGAAAAGUGAAAGGAAAAAGGAGAGGACGAAUAGACUAACAAAGAAGUCGUCACGUCUGUGCGUAGCAUUGAUGGCGGAAGAGGAGGAAAGACUGCGCCAGCCGGCAAGGAGCUGAAACAUGGCGUGAGCUGGCGGACGAGGCGAUUCUUUUCAGUCAUUUCUUUGCACCAGCCACGUUGUGCAACUGUGUUUGCACUGUGAAGACAUUAGGCAGCAUCGAUGAACGCUUUCGGUGAUCCCAGUAAUGUUCAAUUCCGCCCAUGUUACUGGAGAUUGUAAGAAGUCAGUGCAACUUCGACAACUCGUGGAAGUGCGAGCACAGGGCCACAAUCUGCAGCGGUGAGCUUCCGUGUGUGCUGGAUCGCUGGGUACUGGAGUGUGUGCGGUACAGCUGCGAACCAGUUUUAAUUCGAUUAUUAAAGCGGGCGGCAUCGACACUAAUAAAAACGCCUCCAAAAAAAGCGGAUCCCCCGGCUCUCCAGUGCAGCUAUACAGUAGACCCUAGCACCGCUUGGCUUGCUUCCCUGAUGUUUCCAUGGACACUGCUGGGGACGUUUCGUGAGCUGCCGUCAUCAAACAUAGUGACUAACGAGUGAAGCCUCCGCAAAGCUUCUUUCCUUGCCGCAGUAUUUCUGCAAGAUCCAGCUGCCUAGAGCUUGCAACAUGUUUUGUCCGUCCCCUGCGAAGGACAUUUCAUAUUCUGCUGAAAACCCUGCGCUUUCUGCCCCUUGGAUUGAGCUAGGCCAUACACGGCAGGUCACACGUGCUGCAGCAGCGGAGGUUGACGGACGCAAACCUAAUCUUUUGAUUUACAUCUUUCCGGCUUAGUGAAAGCCGCCGUUUUUCCGUUUAACUAUAGAACCAUUUUCCAACCACCACUGCUGUCGUGCUGCCUGUUCUAUUUUGCCAUUUCGGAAUUUUAGUGUUAGUUUUGACGCUGUUUGUGAGACUGUACUUAUAGAAUUACUACUACGACACUGAAGUGCGGAAUCUGUGAUAAGCCUGUUCCAGACGAUGGACGUGCUAUGAAGUGCUUGGAAUGCGAAAGCGCCUAUCAUCUAGGCGAAUGUUCUUACUGCUCACAGGCCACAUUUAAAUCAAGCAGUGAGAAAGGCCGCCAGUCAUGGCGAUGCACGGUGUGCCGCACAACGCAGUCAGAAACCAGCGAAAAGGUGAACUUUAAUAGUGAUCUCACCUCAUUUAUGGCAGAGAUAGGUCGCAGGUUUGGCGCACUUGCUGAUUUAGCGCCACAGGUGGAAGAGGUUAAAGGGUCAAUUAAUCUUAUGUCUAAAUCUACGAGUGACACAAGACAAUGAAAUCUAAAACCUAAAAACGCGAGUAACUCAGCUCGAGGAACACCGUGAAAAGGAAACUCUUGAGGAUCUAAAAGCAACUGUUCAUGUUCUUGAAUGGCGCAGCAGAAAGCUGAACUUGGAAGUUCACGGCAUUUCAUUAACACAGAAUGAAAACCUGCUUGAUAAAUUGAACGACGUGGCCAUUUCUGUAUACGAAACCUGACAACAAAUGACGUUGACACCAUACACAGGCUCCCAUCCAGGAUCGUAAAGACACCUGGGAUCUACUUUGAACAAACGUAAGGACCUGCGGGCUCUUAAAUCGAGUGUUCAAGUUGUUGAAAAUAUGACCAAACAAGGUCGCGAUCUCCUGCGCCGAGUCAGAGGCUCGACAGUAAACAACGGUUUUCGCUUCGCUUGGCACGCAAAUGGAAAUCUUUUUGUUCGUCGUACUGAGCAUGAACGAGCGACAGUCAUCAGGAGUUUGACGGACACUGAUUCGCUGAACACUUACGUGUGGCGGACACUGAACCGCAACACGUAAAGAAAGUGCGUGUAUUUCGCAUUAUUCUUCACUUACGAAGUCACUUCUUACAGAACUGAUAAGCUUAUCGUAUUUAGUUUUCUUAUGAAGGAUGGUUAACACUGCUUGACGUGUAUGCACUUAAGCCUUCAAUCAGGCCGUAGUAAGCUUAAGAACUUGGCAGUUUUUUUGGUGACAUUCAUGAACUUUUCAAUGUCGUCAUCUUCUCUGAGACAUGUUUUGUUUCAGCGCAGGACGUUUACACUGUUCCUGUGUACAAGUCUUAUUACAUUAAUCGUUCUGAAAAGCGCUCGGUUGUGGUGUACCUAUGCUGGUGUCAAAUGCCUUAGACUCUGAACUGCUGUCAGACUUUUGUUUUGCAACUCCCAAUUAUAAAGCGCUCACAGAAAAGCCUCGUGCUGAAAUUUUGCCUGUGCUCCAGUUUUGUCGGUAUGUUAUCGCCCCUCUGGUAGUGAAUGUUCUGAAUUUUUCUGUUUUUAUAAUCGCUCUUCGAGUUUGUGAACGCAAACCAAUACAAAUUGGUCUUCGAUGGUGAUUUUAACAUCAACAUGUUAGAUGUGAAUAGUACAACGUGGCAAUUUAUUUCUCUUCUGAGUAUCUAUUCAUGUUAUAACUUUACAGUGGCACCAGGAAGUUCAGAUUCACUAAUACAUCAAGGACUCAUAGAUCUCUACAUAACAAAGUUAGAACUACAGGUCAUAAACUGUGGUACAAUUAUUCGUGCCAUCAGGGUUAACUCACGCGUAUUUAUUUCUACAAGUCACACAUUGAACCAAUCUGUGUGGCCAGAACAACGGCUUUUUAUAGGCCUAUAAAUGCUAAAACAUCGUCAUUCUUCCGAGCACAGCUACUACGUAUUAAGCUUGGUAUUGUGCUAGAAGAUUUUAACCCUGACAUUGCUUAUAAAAUAUUUCUUAACGUGUUCCUGGAAGCAUACCAUUCAUCGUUUCUCUUAAAGACAGACGCUCAGAAAAUGCAGGAAACCAUGGAUGACAAGGGAAUUGCUCCACCAAGUUAGAAAGCGUGACCAAUUGUACAAAACAUUCAUCAAAACUAAAAUGCUAGAGGCACUUACAGCGCCUAUAAGCAAUACAGAAACUCCGUUACAAGGGUCUACGGAGAGCUAAGAACGAAUAUCUAUUCAAGAAAUUUACUAUGUCUGUAGGACGUAAUGUUAACGUUUGUAGAAGGCUUAAUACAAUGCAAGGAAAAUUGCCAGAACAGACGAUUACGAUUUUACAAGAUGACGUAGAAUUCGCAGGUAGCGAAUUGGCGAACAGUUUCAAUGACUUUUUUCUUUCAGUCGGUGAAUCUUAAACCUCCCGAUGCAGAUUUUAUUUAUACGAUUUCUCGCACUGAAAACAGAUUACUUCUCACACCGAUUUCCGAGAAUGAAGUUGUCUCGUGUUCUGUGACAUUCAGACACUAAAGCCACGGCUGUGUCAGGUAUCCAAAUACAACGAGUUAUAUAUGUUAUCGACGUGCUGGCGCCAUUUCUAACUCAUUUUUCGCCAGAGUUUAGCACUAGGAAUUUUUCCGCGUGACAUUCAGACUACCAAUAUGACUGCAGUAUUCAAAAAAGGGGACAAAAAUGACAUAAGCAAUCACAGGCCGAUAAACGUAUUACCAGUCUUUCCUAAACCUUUUGAAAAAAUAUUCUCACAGCACGUGUCAUCUUUUGUAGGUCGCCAUAAUGUUCUACAUUCUGCCCAAUACGUCUUCCGAAAGAAGAUAUCCGCUGAGCUUGUCCUUCUUGCCCAGAAAGAAUUCAUAUUAGAGGAAUUCAAAUGUCAGGAAAUGGUACUCGGUUUAUCUUUAGAUUUCUCCAAGGCGUUUUACCAGAAAGCUGGAAUUCUAUGAUAUUAGAGGCGUUGCGCACUCUUUAAUUUCCUUCUAUUUACACCACAGAGCUUCGUAUGUAAUGCUUGCAGAAGAAAAGUCACUUUCGAAAGCAGUCAAAUGUGGCGUUCCCCAGGGCAGCAUUCUGGGACUAUUUUUUUUUACUAUAUAUUAAUGAGAUCCCAACCACUGAUAAUACAGCUAAGUUUAUUAUAUAUGCAGAUGAUACCAGAGUAUAUUUAGCAGGAAAUUAGGGCACAUACUUAGUUGAUAGAGGUAACGGAGCGCUCCCCAAAAAAUAAAUGACUGGGCUGCACAAAACCACUUGACGUAAUGGCUCUGGAGAAACCCGCGAGGUCAAAAGAAGUAAAACAUCACUUAAAAGUUAACAUUAAUAAAACAAAGGCGUUCUUAUUUUGACUUCAAAACAAAGCUGUCCAGCUUGCUGCAAUGAAGUUAGGUGACAUAGAAACAUAACUAGUAUCGUAAAUAAAAACCCCGGGAGUCUAUUUUCGUGAACACAUGACAUAGGUCGACCACGUAAAUCACAUGAUUACUAAGUUGUCUAGAACAAUCGGCGUGAAACGCCGCGUUUUUUUUAGUGUCCUGUACCUGUGAACAUGCUUCUCUAUAACGCUCUCUUUUUACCAGUAAAUAAAUAUGGGUGACUAGUAUGGGGUAGAAUCACUAACGAAAAUAUCAACGACUUGGAGUGUUCCAAAUGCGUGUGGUUCGGUUAAUAUGCAAAGUUCCAUACCAUUUGAAGACUGAGCACAUUUUCAGAAAACAUAGUAUUAUUAAGGUGUAUUCUAUGUACACGUAUAUUUUGUGUCGCCAGUGCAAACUUCGUAUAGUCUACAAUACUAACGCGCUAGCAGUACUAGCUGGACUACAAGAAACAUUACCAAAUAUAAAACGUGCAAACCAGAAGAAUGGUAAAUAAAAAAUGUCACACAAAUUACAGCAAGCACAUGCUACAGUUCUUGCUACCCACAUUACUAAAUACAAUUAGUUGAGAACAGCUCUUUCACAUUUCACAACUCUCAUUGCAACAACUACGGUGAGUAUUACGGGAAGUAACAUCCUUACCAUAAACUCAUACACGUUUCUACGAAAUUCUCGCUGAUUUGUUUAUUUUAAUUUUGCUGUUUAUCGAAAUAAUGCUUGUGUGAGUUUUCUGAGAUGUACCAUACGCUAGUAUAUUUUGCAUGUACGUGAGCCUUGUACACUGCACUGUAUAUUUUCCUUUUCAUUUUUUGUUGUUUUUUUCCUGUUGCAACUACCGCUUUGUCAACGUGUGUGUAGAGUGGCGAGGUCCUCCCAAGCUCUCAAGCAGCAGCAUUUACUCCUGG